rnacentral:misc_RNA from 1 species
UCCCCCGUGAGGGGGCAGUCUCGCCUGACAUGUAAAACAGGCAACGAGGGUUGCGUUCGUUACCCCACUGAAGGGAACAACUCAAGCCACGAACUGACGACGACCAUGCAUCACCUGCCCAGCCGCCUUGCGGGGGACCUAGUUUCCUAGGCCUUACGUCUGGGUUUCAAACCCUGGUGAGGUUCUUCGUUUGUCAUCGAAUUGAGCCGCAUGAUCCACCGCUUGUGCAAGUCCCCGUCUAUUCCUUUGAGUUUUAAUCUUGCGAUCGUACUACCCAGGCGGAUAACUUAACGCGUUAGCUUCGCCACAAAGAGGGUCGAUACUCCUUAUAGCCAGUUAUCAUCGUUUAGGGCGUGGACUAC